ACUUCUUGACACUAAAAUCCCGUGGAUCUACAGAGCAAUAGUUUUUCCCUUGAAUAACCAUUGUAAAAGUACAUCUUGGUUCUCGGAUUAUCUGCUGUUGUAUCUACUAGAAUUGUUUUCGACCACCCCUUUGGACUGUUAUGCUGUUCGUGUUGGAAAAGUGUCUACAUGUGUGAUUGACGGAACAUACCAUAGAGAGGAUACAGCAGGAAAAUUCAAGCUGUUCAAUCAAAGUACAGCACAUUAUGCUUGUGGGAUUUGUAAGUUGUCAGAUAUCAUAGUUAGUAUGAUUUAAUAUUGCAGCCUCAGAGCCACAAAUUAUUGUUUAGCAUUAGAGUAAAUUAUUCGUAAAAUAUUUUUAGUGACUGGAA